UAACAGCAUGUACUGUCUGGCUGGGUCUUACCUCUUGGUGAGCCGGCGUGCCCUUUAUUGGUGUGCAUCGGGGAACCAGGACUUUUACCUUGAGAAAAUUGGAGUGUUCAAAGCAGGCUUAUGCCCGAAUACAUUAGCAUGGAAUAAUAAAAUAGGACGUGCGGUUCUAUUUUGUUGGUUUCUAGAGUCGCCGUAAUGAUUAAUAGGGAUAGUUGGGGGCAUUGGUAUUGAGUCGCUAGAGGUGAAAUUCUUAGAUUGACUCAAGACCAACUAUUGCGAAAGCAUUUGCCAAGGAUGUUUUCAUUAAUCAAGAACGAAGGUUAGGGGAUCGAAAACGAUCA
rnacentral:rRNA from 1 species